UCUCUGAUAGUCUGAUGGCUAAGAGUCUGUACUCCCAAAGCAGGGGACCCAGGUUUGAUCCCUGGUCUGGGAA
rnacentral:tRNA from 1 species